rnacentral:rRNA from 1 species
CAUAUCCUACGGGACGCAGCAGUAGGGAAUAUUGCUCAAUGGGGGAAACCCUGAAGCAGCAACGCCGCGUGGAGGAUGAAGGUUUUCGGAUUGUAAACUCCUUUUGUUAGAGAAGAUAAUGACGGUAUCUAACGAAUAAGCACCGGCUAACUCCGUGCCAGCAGCCGCGGUAAUACGGAGGGUGCGAGCGUUACUCGGAAUCACUGGGCGUAAAGAGCGCGUAGGCGGGAUAGCAAGUCAGAUGUGAGAUCCUAUGGCUUAACCAUAGAACUGCAUUUGAAACUGUUAUUCUAGAGUAUGGGUGG